GGAUGUGAGGGCGAUCUGGCUGUGACAUGUGUUACCCCAUUGAUCGCCAGGGUUGAUUCGGCUAAUCUGGCUGGCUAGGCAAGUGUCCCCUUCCUCCCUCACUGCUCCAUGUGCAUCCCUCCCAAAACUGUGCGCUCGAUUGAAGAGGACAACCAACCCCUAUGGAGGAGAACCAGUCUUCAGUCAAGGGUAUAUGAGUAGCUGCACAACCCUGCUAGAACCUCUAAACAAGCUCCCAAAUGGCCCAGUUAAAUGAGAACAUAAAUAUAAUGAGAAUCAUGUUGUGUAUUUUGUAGGCCAAUAGGUCUGUAAAA
rnacentral:snRNA from 1 species